rnacentral:lncRNA from 1 species
UAGAGAAUUUAAAAUCUAUCUGAUCUCUCUCUCAAUAUCAAAAAUUCUGCCACUGAACCUAAGUAGGAAGCUCUCCACACUCUCCAGUCUAGUACUCAGAUUAGACAAGAGCUCCAUCAAAGAAGAAAUAUGUGGCAUGAUAGAAAAUUCUGAGAAAAUAUCAGACAAAGAACUCGGUGAAGCCUGGUGAUACUGCAGUUGCUGUUGCACCUGCUAAAGAAUCUGCUCCUAAUACUGCUGAAAUUGGUGAAGCUGUUGAAGAACCUGAUUCUGAAACCACUGCUGCUGAACAGAAAAAAUC